GGGCGGUUAGCUCAGUUGGUAGAGCACUAGCUCGACAUGCUAGUGGCCACAAGUUCGAACCUUGUACCGCCCACCA
rnacentral:tRNA from 1 species